rnacentral:rRNA from 1 species
AUAUAUGUUAAGUGGAAAAGGAUGUGGCGUUGCCCAGACAACUAGGAUGUUGGCUUAGAAGCAGCCAUCAUUUAAAGAGUGCGUAAUAGCUCACUAGUCGAGUGACACUGCGCCGAAAAUGUACCGGGGCUAAACAUAUUACCGAAGCUGUGGAUUGUCCUUUGGACAAUGGUAGGAGAGCGUUCUAAGGGCGUUGAAGCAUGAUCGUAAGGACAUGUGGAGCGCUUAGAAGUGAGAAUGCCGGUGUGAGUAGCGAAAGACGGGUGAGAAUCCCGUCCACCGAUUGACUAAGGUUUCCAGAGGAAGGCUCGUCCGCUCUGGGUUAGUCGGGUCCUAAGCUGAGGCCGACAGGCGUAGGCGAUGGAUAACAGGUUGAUAUUCCUGUACCACCUAUAAUCGUUUUAAUCGAUGGGGGGACGCAGUAGGAUAGGCGAAGCGUGCGAUUGGAUUGCACGUCUAAGCAGUAAGGCUGAGUAUUAGGCAAAUCCGGUACUCGUUAAGGCUGAGCUGUGAUGGGGAGAAGACAUUGUGUCUUCGAGUCGUUGAUUUCACACUGCCGAGAAAAGCCUCUAGAUAGAAAAUAGGUGCCCGUACCGCAAACCGACACAGGUAGUCAAGAUGAGAAUUCUAAGGUGAGCGAGCGAACUCUCGUUAAGGAACUCGGCAAAAUGACCCCGUAACUUCGGGAGAAGGGGUGCUCUUUAGGGUUAACGCCCAGAAGAGCCGCAGUGAAUAGGCCCAAGCGACUGUUUAUCAAAAACACAGGUCUCUGCUAAACCGUAAGGUGAUGUAUAGGGGCUGACGCCUGCCCGGUGCUGGAAGGUUAAGAGGAGUGGUUAGCUUCUGCGAAGCUACGAAUCGAAGCCCCAGUAAACGGCGGCCGUAACUAUAACGGUCCUAAGGUAGCGAAAUUCCUUGUCGGGUAAGUUCCGACCCGCACGAAAGGCGUAACGAUUUGGGCAC